UACGUAGGUGGCAAGCGUUGUCCGGAAUUAUUGGGCGUAAAGCGCGCGCAGGCGGUCUUUUAAGUCUGAUGUGAAAGCCCACGGCUCAACCGUGGAGGGUCAUUGGAAACUGGAGGACUUGAGUGCAGAAGAGGAAAGUGGAAUUCCACGUGUAGCGGUGAAAUGCGUAGAGAUGUGGAGGAACACCAGUGGCGAAGGCGACUUUCUGGUCUGUAACUGACGCUGAGGCGCGAAAGCGUGGGGAGCAAACAGG
rnacentral:rRNA from 1 species